GAAUCUUCCGCAAUGGGCGAAAGCCUGACGGAGCAAUGCCGCGUGAGUGAAGAAGGCCUUCGGGUUGUAAAACUCUGUCCUUAGGGAAGAAUGUAUUCUAUGUGAAUAAUGUAGAGUAGUGACGGUACCUAUGGAGGAAGCCCCGGCGCACUACGUGCCCGCAGCCGCGGUAAUACGUAGGGGGCGAGCGUUGUCCGGAAUCACUGGGCGUAAAGCGCGCGUAGGCGGACUUUUAAGUCAGAUGUGAAAACUCUGGGCUCAACCUGGAGAUUGCAUCUGAAACUGGGAGUCUUGAGUGUAGAAGAGGAGAGUGGAAUUCCUAGUGUAGCGGUGAAAUGCGUAGAUAUUAGGAGGAACACCAGUGGCGAAGGCGACUCUCUGGUCUAUAACUGACGCUGAGGUGCGAAAGCGUGGGGAGCAAAC
rnacentral:rRNA from 1 species